rnacentral:rRNA from 1 species
GUUUGAUCCUGGCUCAGAUUGAACGCUGGCGGCAUGCCUUACACAUGCAAGUCGAACGGCAGCGCGGGGCAACCUGGCGGCGAGUGGCGAACGGGUGAGUAAUAUAUCGGAACGUACCCUGGAGUGGGGGAUAACGUAGCGAAAGUUACGCUAAUACCGCAUACGAUCUAAGGAUGAAAGUGGGGGAUUCGCAAGAACCUCAUGCUCCUGGAGCGGCCGAUAUCUGAUUAGCUAGUUGGUAGGGUAAAAGCCUACCAAGGCUUCGAUCAGUAGCUGGUCUGAGAGGACGACCAGCCACACUGGAACUGAGACACGGUCCAGACUCCUACGGGAGGCAGCAGUGGGGAAUUUUGGACAAUGGGCGCAAGCCUGAUCCAGCAAUGCCGCGUGAGUGAAGAAGGCCUUCGGGUUGUAAAGCUCUUUUGUCAGGGAAGAAACGGUGAGGGCUAAUAUCUCUUGCUAAUGACGGUACCUGAAGAAUAAGCACCGGCUAACUACGUGCCAGCAGCCGCGGUAAUACGUAGGGUGCAAGCGUUAAUCGGAAUUACUGGGCGUAAAGCGUGCGCAGGCGGUUUUGUAAGUUUGUCGUGAAAGCCCCGGGCUCAACCUGGGAAUUGCGAUGAAGACUGCAAGGCUUGAAUCUGGCAGAGGGGGGUAGAAUUCCACGUGUAGCAGUGAAAUGCGUAGAGAUGUGGAGGAACACCGAUGGCGAAGGCAGCCCCCUGGGUCAAGAUUGACGCUCAUGCACGAAAGCGUGGGGAGCAAACAGGAUUAGAUACCCUGGUAGUCCACGCCCUAAACGAUGUCUACUAGUUGUCGGGUUUUAAUUAACUUGGUAACGCAGCUAACGCGUGAAGUAGACCGCCUGGGGAGUACGGUCGCAAGAUUAAAACUCAAAGGAAUUGACG